UACGUAGGGUGCAAGCGUUUGUCCGGAAUUAUUGGGCGUAAAGAGCUCGUAGGCGGUUUGUCGCGUCUGCUGUGAAAACGCGAGGCUCAACCUCGCGCCUGCAGUGGGUACGGGCAGACUAGAGUGCGGUAGGGGAGAUUGGAAUUCCUGGUGUAGCGGUGGAAUGCGCAGAUAUCAGGAGGAACACCGAUGGCGAAGGCAGGUCUCUGGGCAUUAACUGACGCUGAGGAGCGAAAGCAUGGGGAGCGAACAGG
rnacentral:rRNA from 1 species